GAAUUACCGCGGCUGCUGGCACGAAGUUAGCCGGGGCUUCUUCUGCGAGUAACGUCAUUAUCCUCCUCGCUGAAAGAGCUUUACAACCCUAGGGCCUUCAUCACUCACGCGGCAUGGCUGGAUCAGGGUUGCCCCCAUUGUCCAAUAUUCCCCACUGCUGCCUCCCGUAGGAGUCUGGGCCGUGUCUCAGUCCCAGUGUGGCUGAUCAUCCUCUCAGACCAGCUAUGGAUCGUCGCCUUGGCAGGCCUUUACCCCACCAACUAGCUAAUCCAACGCGGGCCCAUCUUUCGGCGAUAAAUCUUUCCCCCAAAGGGCGCAUACGGUAUUAAUUCCAGUUUCCCGGAGCUAUCCCGUACCGAAAGGUAGGUUCCCACGCGUUACUCACCCGUCUGCCACUAUCCCCGAAGGGAUCGUUCGACUUGCAU
rnacentral:rRNA from 1 species